rnacentral:ncRNA from 1 species
UAAAAAUUUAUGAUUUUAAAGAUUUAUUUUUAAUUUAUUUUACAUGCAAAUUUUAGUGUUAAUUUUUAAUUAUUUGAAUAAUAAUUAAAAUUUAUUGUAGUAAAUAAUAUUAAAAAUUUAAGAAAUUAAGAUUUAGUUAUAUUAAAGUUAAUAACAAAUUUUGUGCCAGCAGUUGCGGUUAUACGAAAAUUAAGAUAAAUUUUUUUCAGUUUAUAAUUAAUAAUUUUUUUAAUUAAAUUAAAUAUUAAAUUAUUAAGUGAAAUUUUAAUUUAAUUAAAAUUUAUUUAUAAAUUAUGAUUUAAUAAAUUUAUUUAUAAACUAGGAUUAGAUACCCUAUUAUUAACAAUUUAAAUUAUAAUGCUAAAAUAGUAAAUAUAUUUAAUUAUUGAAACUUAAGUAAUUUGGCGGUAUUUUAGUUCAUUUAGAGGAAUCUGUUUAAUAAUUGAUAAUCCACGAAUAAAUUUACUUAAUUUUUUAUUUUGUAUAUCGUUGUUAAAAAAAUAUUUUUAAAUGAAAAUAAUAUUUAAAAAUUAUUAAUAUAAAUUAGUUCAGAUCAAGAUGCAGAUUAUAAUUAAGAAUAUAAUGGAUUACAAUAAAUUUAUUUAGAUGAAUAUUAUUUUGUAAAAAUAUUUGAAGGUGGAUUUAAAUGUAAUUUUAUUUAAUUUAUUAAAAUGAUUAAAAAUUAAAAUAUGUACAUAUUGCCCGUCGCUUUCAUUUAAAAAUUGGAAUAAGUCGUAACAAAGUAGAGGUACUGGAAAGUGUUUCUAGAAAGAC